rnacentral:rRNA from 1 species
AGAGUUUGAUCCUGGCUCAGAUUGAACGCUGGCGGCAUGCUUUACACAUGCAAGUCGAACGGCAGCACGGGUGCUUGCACCUGGUGGCGAGUGGCGAACGGGUGAGUAAUGCACCGGAACGUACCCAGUAAUGGGGGAUAACACAUCGAAAGAUGUGCUAAUACCGCAUACGCCCUGAGGGGGAAAGCGGGGGAUCGUAAGACCUCGCGUUAUUGGAGCGGCCGAUGCCGGAUUAGCUAGUUGGUGAGGUAAGAGCUCACCAAGGCGACGAUCCGUAGCUGGUCUGAGAGGACGACCAGCCACACCGGGACUGAGACACGGCCCAGACUCCUACGGGAGGCAGCAGUGGGGAAUUUUGGACAAUGGGCGCAGGCCUGAUCCAGCCAUGCCGCGUGAGUGAAGAAGGCCUUCGGGUUGUAAAGCUCUUUCGCAAGGAAAGAAAACUUAUCUACUAA